rnacentral:rRNA from 1 species
UACAGAGGUGGCAAGCGUUGCUCGGAAUUACUGGGCGUAAAGGGCUCGUAGGCGGCCAACUAAGUCAGACGUGAAAUCCCCAGGCUCAACCUGGGAACUGCGUCUGAUACUGGAUGGCUUGAAUUCGGGAGAGGGAUGCAGAAUUCCAGGUGUAGCGGUGAAAUGCGUAGAUAUCUGGAGGAAUACCGGUGGCGAAGGCGGCAUCCUGGACCGACAUUGACGCUGAUGAGCGAAAGCUAGGGGAGCAAACGGG